rnacentral:rRNA from 1 species
UUACCAUGCAGUCGACGGCAGCGCGGGGCAACCUGGCGGCGAGUGGCGAACGGGUGAGUAAUAUAUCGGAACGUACCCUGGAGUGGGGGAUAACGUAGCGAAAGUUACGCUAAUACCGCAUACGAUCUAAGGAUGAAAGUGGGGGAUUCGCAAGAACCUCAUGCUCCUGGAGCGGCCGAUAUCUGAUUAGCUAGUUGGUGGGGUAAAGGCCUACCAAGGCAUCGAUCAGUAGCUGGUCUGAGAGGACGACCAGCCACACUGGAACUGAGACACGGUCCAGACUCCUACGGGAGGCAGCAGUGGGGAAUUUUGGACAAUGGGCGAAAGCCUGAUCCAGCAAUGCCGCGUGAGUGAAGAAGGCCUUCGGGUUGUAAAGCUCUUUUGUCAGGGAAGAAACGGUGAGGGCUAAUAUCCCUUGCUAAUGACGGUACCUGAAGAAUAAGCACCGGCUAACUACGUGCCAGC